GGGGUGUGAAGUGUAAAGGAUGUCUGGCUAGUAAUUAAAAGCAUUGGGUCGAGGUUUACCCUGGAAAGCGUUGAAGCGGUUGAAGAAGAAAUUGCAUAGAAAAGUACCAGAGAUGUAUUAGGGUUGGUGUAUAGUAACAUCAUGAAAUGGUUUUGUCAUGGCACAAAGGUUUGGCAUUAUGGCAUCAAGAAUAUGAAUUAUUUUGGAAUGCACUCGAAGUACUUGGAGGACCACAUGAAGAAUCAAUAGAAAAGUAGACUUAGAGUAGGUUUAAGAUUAGUUUGACUUUUGGUCAACAGUUGAUCAAAGGUCAACCUUAGGUCAAAAAAAAUUUUGUGUGUGUAAUUUGUACUUUCCCUUUUGUAAUGAAAUUUUGAUACUUGUAAUAUGAAUCUUGGCCUUUGAAAUGUACUUGUGACUUAUUUUUCAAGCAAAGUGCUUUUCCCUCCAAA